GUGCUUGCUUUGGCAGCACAUAUACUAAAAUUGGAAUGAUACAAAGAAGAUUAGCAUGGCCCCUGCACAAGGAUGACAUGCAAAUUCAUGAAGCAUUCCAUAUUUUU
ensembl:snRNA U6 U6 spliceosomal RNA